UACGUAGGAGGCAAGCGUUGUCCGGAAUUACUGGGCGUAAAGCGCGUGUAGGUGGUGGGACAAGUCUGCUGUGAAAGUGCCUGGCUUAACCGGGCGAGGUCGGCGGAAACUGUCCGACUCGAGGACGGUAGAGGGGGGUGGAAUUCCCGGUGUAGUGGUGAAAUGCGCAGAUAUCAGGAAGAACACCAAUGGCGAAGGCAGCUCUCUGGGACGGUACUGACACUGAGACGCGAAAGCGUGGGGAGCGAACAGG
rnacentral:rRNA from 1 species